UACGGAAGGCAGCAGUGGGGAAUAUUGCACAAUGGGCGAAAGCCUGAUGCAGCUAUGCCGCGUGUAUGAAGAAGGCCUUAGGGUUGUAAAGUACUUUUCAUCGGGGAGGAAAAAACAAAAACUAAUAAUUUUUAUUUUCUUUGACGUUACCCGAAAAAGAAGCACCGGCUAACUCCGUGCCAGCAGCCGCGGUAAUACGGAGGGUGCUAGCGUUAAUCAGAAUUACUGGGCGUAAAGAGUACGUAGGUGGUUUUUUUAAGUUCAGAUGUGAAAUCCCUGGGCUUAACCUGGAACUGCAUUUUGAAACUGAAAUACUAGAGUAUCGUAGAGGGAGGUAGAAUUCUAGGUGUAGCGGUGAAAUGCGUAGAUAUCUGGAGGAAUACCUGUGGCGAAAGCGGCCUCCUAAACGAAUACUGACACUGAGGGUGCGAAAGCGUGGGGAGCAAACGAGGGAUUUAGAUACC
rnacentral:rRNA from 1 species